GAGGGCCCGCGGCCCCUGCCCCCUGUGAGCUUCCCUUUGUCAUCCUAUGCCUGAGCCAUGGCCGAGGCUGGGACGGUGAAGGGAGGCCCACGGGCUGCCACAGCCCCGAUGCCACGG
rnacentral:pre_miRNA from 10 species